CAUAAAGAAACAGGUUGGCGUUCUCUGGUCCCUCUGCCCGCACGCCCUCGUCUCUGCGCCUCAGCUCGCCGACACCGAGAGCUCUCCUCUGGGACCGAACCCGAACCCCAUAUCUCGCUCUCUUCACGCCCACCCCCCGCGCGUCCUCCUCGGUGGAGAUCGAAGCAUUCCAUCCCACAGCUGUUGGACUGGCCAAAGGAGGAACAAGGCAUCUGUGCUUUUGCACAGGGAUGACAAAAAUAUAAGAAAAUUUUAAAGGAGAAAAGGAGAGGAAAAAAGGAACAAAAUUUUCUGUGGUCUGAAUCUAGUGGGUUCAUGAAUUCACGAAGGUUCAUCUCCAAUCUCUCUCUCUCUCUCUUUCUCUUUCUCUUUCUCUCGCAUGCGUGCACGAAUGCGCAAAUGCAAAUUGCAAUUAUCGGGAUUUGGUAGUCAUUGACCUUGUUGAGAUUUUGGAUUCACACAUCAAGAUUUCUAUGUCUUUUCUAGUUAUUGAUAUUUAAUUAUUUAUAGAUGAUUUGAUUUAUUUUGUGAAAUAUUUUAAAUAUGUAAUCUGAAUUAUAGUAGUGCUAAAUUGCUAAGUUUUCUGCUCAGUGAAAGUCUUUUAAACAUUUAUUCUUCUUUUUUCCCUCUUAUUGAUUUUGUAAAAGAACUCUAUUUUAAACUUCUGGGUUCUUAUACCACCAAAUUUUGUAAUUUGAAGACAAAUGGACUAACCUGAUGCGGGCAACAAAGUUGGAUGUUGCAUGUGAGAUUAUCGAAGCAACAGAGCUGCUCUUUUUGAUGGCCUUGUGGAGGGUGGCAUCCGAGACUAUUCCUCUCAUGAAAUUGAUGAGCAUGAAAAUGAUAGAGCUAUUGAUGGGCUGCAAGAUAGAGUGAACAUUCUUAAGAGAUUGACGGGUGAUAUACAUGAAGAAGUCGAGAUGCACAAUCGCGUACUGGACAGAAUGGGCCAUGAUAUGGAUGCUUCAAGAGGUGUUCUUUCUGGAACAGUUGACCGUUUCAAGAUGGUAAAUUAGUUCGGUCUCAUCCUUUGCUUUAAAUCUUAUUUCAUCAGAUUGCUGAUGACAUUAGUUUUCUCAAUCACGUAUUCGAGAAAAAAUCGAGUCGCAGAAUGGCUACACUUGUUGCAUCUUUUUUGGCACUCUUCUUGCUUAUAUACUACUUGACCAAGUAGGAUUCUACAUAAUCUGCUAGGCUGCCACUGUAAGGUUUAUGAUGACCUGAGAAGACUGUCAAUCCUACUACUAGAGUGUUGCAACAAUAGCUUGUGUAUAUAAUAUUUUCUUUGAGAACUAUGUGUAAACAUAUGAGAUCUUGAAGGUUUAAUGUCCUUCCGGUUUGAAGAUUGAGUUGUCUGGGCUGCUCCAUCAUUCAUUGUACAUGAAACUAUAGCUCCUACUGUCAGAACUUAAACCGGUAUUGAUUCUUGGCAUACUAGUGAUUUAGUGUUCAUUUCAUCAUAAAACCAAGGGAUUGCAGCCUUGUGUAUUAUG